CUGUGACUUUAUUGAAGCACAUUAACCUUCCCCCUACCCACAUCUGUUAACGCCGCACUGCCAGACCCGAGUACCCGACAUUCUACCCGCACUCACCGCGGACGCUGAGUACCUGUAGGUCCUAUUCUCACCGCUAUGACAAGGGAGGCUUAGCAAAUUGAUUUCCUGAGGAUAGCCGAUGGCAGUGGUGGUCGUCAGGCCACGUAUCCUAUUCCAUCUAUAACUUUUUUAAGACUCUACAGCGCAAGGUUCUUUUUUUUUUUUCUCUCGGGGCGCCUGGAUCGUGCGAAUCUCUGUACCUGCCACCAGAGCUUAAUUGUCAAAUCCACGUUACAGCUGCGGAUAUAAACCAUCAGGGGAGAGACUGAUUUCUUACACUCCCCUCACCAAGUCUUUUUUUUUUUAAAAAAAUAUUCAGUAAAAAAAUAAUCCACCGUCUUCGUGAGACAGAGAUAGAGCCGAACUACUGAUAAGCGUCUGACGAGGAGUGAGGAGGUCCGUCUGCCAUGCUGGUCUGACUGAAGGUAUGAUUGGUGUUAUCAUCCACCUGAAGUACAGGUCGUCUGUGUUUGCUCUGCUCUCAAAUGUGACACUUCUUCCCAACGGUGGUUGUCGCAGCUCUCGUGGUGAACUACGUACAGCGGUUUACUUACCAGAAUCAGGUUCUCCAACACUAUUGACUGCAAUGUAGCCUUGUGAUCUGCGCCUUGCGGAGGGAUUCUGUGCCGAGGUUCUGAAGGAGUUGGAGUUUCGGAAUAACGGAUGGGGCCGUGCAGUGCUCUCGCCGGUGAGCUGCGUUCAUAGUCCACCUCUUCAAAAAAUAAAAUCCACGAAGGGAAAUUGCGAUGUCCGCCCGAAGCUGUGCACGCGACACCAUGGAAACACUGUUCGUCCGGAGUCGUACUUUCACCAACCGUCGCUGCUUUGAUCUACCCGAAAGUGCUUUGCCGUGUUGGAAAACUACUUCGACUAUCUGCGAUUUUCUUCCUCUAAGUCCACUCAGGUCAAGGUCGGCCCUAGUGACCUAUGCCCCUGCUUUCCCAGCGGAAGUUACGGCAUGUCGCGAAAUAACGUCAGUGUCGCCCGCUUCUACGACCUGUCGGACGACAGGCAGGGCACCGCCUCGGCCUCGCACAUCUACCGCGAGAUGGCCGGACCAGCGGGAGGACCUCUCUCGCUGUCGGAAAUCGCGACGAAAAAGGCGGAUGGAGUGAAAAUGUCGAUGUCUAAAACUACCGCCCGGGUGACGCCAGGAAGGAUGUUUCUGAGAGACAAGGGCAUGUUGACGAAAGGAGAACGGGAGAUCAUCAAGGGCAUUUGCAAAAAUCGCGGCGACCUGCGGCGUGACGGCUGCUCCCAGUCGGACAUGACGGUGCGACACCAUCACGAGGCCUGGCAGAUGGGUAAGGCAAUGACUGCGAGCAAGGAUCUGCUGCGUGGCACCCUUUUAGAGAUGGCCUCAUCAGGGGUGGCAGGUGGAGAAGCCGUCAGUGUCAAAUCAUUGACGCAAAUCAAGCCAAAGCUGGUGGAGAAGGUAACAUCGCUCAUCGUUCUCAAUGUUUGAUGUGUUUGAAAGAGCAAACCUGCAGCACCCGAAGCUCCGCCUUCCGACUUCUCGCCGUGAUGGCGGCGGUCUGAUAACACCGCCAUCCACUCCAGAACCAUCCAGCAUCCACGGCGCCAGUUUGUCGAACAAUUUUCAGCCCCAUCAUCACUGCCAAACCUUAGCACCACACCAUCACACCAUCACGCCUGCACCCAGGCUACCCCACCGACGUCAGGAAACCAGUUCCCAUGAAACGAUAGUUGUGACCCCUUUAAGUGCACACACCUCUCAGGAUACGGAACCCAGUGACUCUGACAGCCAGGAUUCCAGAGGCAGACGGAAGAUUCAGGUGAAAGUGUACUUGCCCAAAGUCGGCGCCGAUACGGUUGAUGACGACAUAAAGGCUUGUAUUCUACAUGGAAAACCCAUACUGGCCAGGGAGAGACACAUAAACCAGAACGAUCUCAAACACAAGAAACUGCACAAAGACAGUUUGGAGACUACUCAAGCGUCCACAUGGGAACGACUUCCGACAACAAAAUACAGAGACAAACCCAGAGUAGUGACUCUUACAAACCGGCCAUUCCGUGGUGCCACAGAGGGAACAGGUACAGGUCGAUUUUUACCAGCGUGAAUAUGCUAGGGUGAUAAAAUUAUGGUAAGGAAUAGAGGAUGAGUCUGGACAUGGUAAAUAAUGACUUUGGGACUUCUUUCAUGUGAUGUAAGUAGCUAUGAAGAACAUGUUCAACAUCAUAAGUAUAUUACUUCAUGUGAAUGUUGGAUUUUUUUUUCCGUCAUAUUCUUCAUAGAUUUCUACAGAAACAAAUCUUCAUUUGAACAGACUGCAUUGCAAAGUAGUAGUAUUGUGCAAUAAAGACGGUUUACAAUUAAGCAGUUACUAUAGAGCAACUAUGAUUAUGUUAAAAAAUAUUGCUACUGUAUUAUUUAAGGCCACAUUUUUGGACUGAAGACAUAACCUGUUGCAUUCAAAUGCCAACAUUGCAUUAUGGCAUGUUUGUCUUGUAUAAAGGCAAUGUUCAUGAGCAU